GGUUGCGAACAUACCAGCACUAAUGCAUCGGAUUCGAUCUGGACUACGCAGUUAAGCGUGCUUGGGCGAGAGUAGUACUUGGAUGGGUGACCCCCUGGGAAGUCCUCGUGUUGCAACCCGUC
rnacentral:rRNA from 1 species